UCUGCAUGCUGUCCUGUCCAGCUACCUUGCUCCACAUCCACCCUUAAACUGCAACCCAGCAAGCUGCUAAAUAUCUGGGAGACGGAGCGCUUCUACAUCUCUGCAGUGCAGCCAUGGCCACCACAGAAUCAAUGUUCCCAGACCGAAGUGACUUUGACUAUGUUCCAGCUCCUCUGGUACCCAAAUACCAAAGACAGAGGUGCCUCCUCAAAGUGUAUAGAAAAUAUAACACUUGAAAGGGGAAGAAGUUGUCACAGGAACCCCGCCAGCGAAAACACACAAACACUGGUUGUUUAUGGCCAUCCCUGUUAUGGCUAAUAUACCUCAGCCAGCUGGAUGAUCAAUAUACAGGGUUUUCCAACACAUCCUGACCUGGUUUCAUUGAGCCUCCCACUGAAUUCUGUAGAGAGUCUUACAAUAAUAGCAAUGUACUGUGUAUGUAUCUAAAGAUGGCUCCAAAUUGAGUGGGAAUAAAAGAAGGGGGAAAAAAAAGGAAAAACACUCAAACAUGAGACUUGAUGAGGUACUUUUAAUUUUAAAAAAGCAACAAUCGUUCUCUUACAUUGUACUCAUGUAGAGCAAUAAAAUUAAUAGCAUGAUUAAAUAUUUAUAGAGUACAUCUCCAGGUCAAAACAAAAAAACGCAUGCAUUGAUCAGUUGUAACAGUUAUCUUAUGCCUUUAUCUUUCUUAAUUUUUUUGUUGGUAUCUUGUUUAUUCAGCAUGACAAAAUGAUGAAGACACUGAUAAGAAUAGGCAAAAAACAAGUGGCUACAAUAAAAUAUAAGACAAUGUUUAGCAAUGUAUUUUAUUUUGAAAAUGCUUUGAUCAAUAUUACAAUAGAUGAAAUGUGUAUUUGUUUUAUUAGUAGUAAUUUCUUCUAUUAAAUUCAAAGGCAAUGGUAUUACAAAUUAAAAUGUAUUACCUGUAAAGCUGAAAAAUGAGGCCGCUGUUUCAAAUAAAGGUCUUGUCUACUCAACGUGGUUUUAUCAGUUUAUAAUGAACUUGUUCUUAACGUUAUAUAUAUCUUAAAGUGAUGUAAAUGUAAUGUAGAAAUAAGACAAUAUGUCGUUUACUCAUGAGAUUGAUCUUUCUUUUGUGCUUUAUGGGAAUUCAGCAGAGAUGACACAUAUGUGACACACAACUCAGACCUUAUUUCAGACCUUUGUGACUAACAUUCAUUGUGAUGGUGGAAAAUGGGCUUGAAAAAUAAAAAUUCUUUACACCAUCA